rnacentral:rRNA from 1 species
CAGCCGCCACGGGAAUACGGAGGGUGCAAGCGUUAAUCGGAAUUACUGGGCGUAAAGCGCACGCAGGCGGUCUGUCAAGUCGGAUGUGAAAUCCCCGGGCUCAACCUGGGAACUGCAUUCGAAACUGGCAGGCUAGAGUCUUGUAGAGGGGGGUAGAAUUCCAGGUGUAGCGGUGAAAUGCGUAGAGAUCUGGAGGAAUACCGGUGGCGAAGGCGGCCCCCUGGACAAAGACUGACGCUCAGGUGCGAAAGCGUGGGGAGCAAACAGGAUUAGAUACCCCUGUAGUCCUGUCUCUUAUACA